UACGGAGGAUGCGAGCGUUAUCCGGAUUUAUUGGGUUUAAAGGGUGCGUAGGCGGUAUGGUAAGUCAGCGGUAAAAGCCCGGGGCUCAACCCCGGCCUGCCGUCGGAACUGGGUGCCUUGAGUGGGCGAGAAGUACGCGGAAUGCGUGGUGUAGCGGUGAAAUGCAUGGAUAUCACGCAGAACUCCGAUUGCGAAGGCAGCGUACCGGCGCCCAACUGACGCUGAAGCACGAAGGCGUGGGUAUCGAACAGG
rnacentral:rRNA from 1 species